rnacentral:rRNA from 1 species
UGGUGGAGUGAUUUGUCUGGUUAAUUCCGUUAACGAACGAGACCUCGACCUGCUAAAUAGUUCGACUAACCCUUCGGGGUUUGUACGUGACUUCUUAGAGGGACUAUCGGUGUGUAGCCGAUGGAAGUUCGAGGCAAUAACA